GAUCUCAGCGUCGUCGGGUCGACUGAACAAGCAGCGACCGACGCGUCCGCUCAUUCUUUUCUCUUUUUUUUGGGAAUAAAGACACUUCCAUAAAAACAGCUUAUAGACUUUAUAUACAAACAUCUCACAGGUGGCGGGUCAGCUGACUAACACAGCAAAGUUAAAAUCUCUCAUAGAAGACUACCUGACAGUCGCUCCUCUGAAGUAUGAAGACGAGUUUAGGCACAAAGAUGAAUGAUAGUAAAAAACUGUACAAUACUGUGCAAGUGCAAAAAGCUGGAAGCGGAGCUGCAGCUCGAUUCACCGACUCUGAAACCACGCAUCUCUUUUGCUCGUGUCGAUUCAGAACAAAAAUUAUCCCUCAGACAAAUAAAAUGUUAAUAUCACUAAAUGUUACAGACGUCUGUGCGGACCUGCUGACUAACGAGAGGGACGACUGAGCUUUACUGAAACCUUCAAGAGACACGAGUUUGUUUUCACGCCGGAUCAUGUAGAGAUGCGUCAAUAAAACCGAAUAAUCGUUUGGUCGAGGUCACUUCCUGUCACGAUAUCUGCUCAAAAACUAAAAUCUAUUGAACCCAUUUAACUUUUAGGUCAAUGUUUAGCUGAAGUUUGUGAUGCACAGACAGACCAUCAGAUUGUGCUAUGGUUGCUAUGGAUACACGCUGUUCUAUGGCUGCUAUGGAUACAGGUUGUGUUCUAUGGUUGCUAUAGAUACAGGCUGUGUUCUAUGGUUGCUAUAGAAACAGGUUGUGUUAUAUGGUUGCUAAGGAUACAGGUCGUGUUCUGUGGUUGCUAUAGAUACAGGUUGUGUUCUGUGGUUGCUAUGGAUACAGGUUGUGUUCUAUGGUUGCUAUGGAUACAGGUUGUGUUCUAUGGUUGAUAUAGAUACAGGUUGUGUUCUAUGGUUGCUAUAGAUACAGGUUGUGUUCUAUGGUUGCUAUGGAUACAGGUUGUGAUGACAUCAGAGAUCCUGCUGGAGACAUUUCUGAAGUUGACUUUCAUGUUUAGAACCAACGAAGGUGUGAAUGAGUCUGUGGAGGCUGUAAAACAUCACAUUUAGGCUCAAUGAGAGAAAUAAAUCCAUGUUUUAUGUUGUCAUGGCAACAAAGAAGAAAAGCUAAGAAAUUGUGUUUUUGAAUAGCACUUUCUUGGUGUCAGCUACGAAGGGUUAAUCAAGAGUUGAGCUGUGUAGUCUUAGUGUGAAAGGUUCAUUAACAGCUACUGGAGAGCAGUUUUCUCUUCCAGCCACUAGGAGGAGCUCUGAGCUUGUGUUGAAGUUGAACCUGACAGUGAAUUUUAACUCCUCGGCUACUUUGACUCGGUAGUAAGUUAGUCUGUAGCAGCACAUA